rnacentral:rRNA from 1 species
GCAGGUGCGAAAGCAGGUCAUAGUGAUCCGGUGGUUCUGAAUGGAAGGGCCAUCGCUCAACGGAUAAAAGGUACUCCGGGGAUAACAGGCUGAUACCGCCCAAGAGUUCAUAUCGACGGCGGUGUUUGGCACCUCGAUGUCGGCUCAUCACAUCCUGGGGCUGAAGUAGGUCCCAAGGGUAUGGCUGUUCGCCAUUUAAAGUGGUACGCGAGCUGGGUUUAGAACGUCGUGAGACAGUUCGGUCCCUAUCUGCCGUGGGCGCUGGAGAACUGAGGGGGGCUGCUCCUAGUACGAGAGGACCGGAGUGGACGCAUCACUGGUGUUCGGGUUGUCAUGCCAAUGGCACUGCCCGGUAGCUAAAUGCGGAAGAGAUAAGUGCUGAAAGCAUCUAAGCACGAAACUUGCCCCGAG